rnacentral:lncRNA from 8 species
GAGCUACCUGCUUUUCUGGUGCCACUGUGCCUUAUGCUGUGGACUUCUGCUGAGAAAACCACUCAUCUUCCCAAUCAGUUACUGCUGGUUGGUUAUUUUGCUCUGCCCAGAAUACCUGCCCAUAUGCAUUGCACCAAUCAUCUAUCCAUUUUUUUUUUGGUGGAGGGAAAUCUACAUCAUUUGCAUUGUUCGUCCUGGCCUUUGUGUUCUGCAUCUAUAAUGGCUAUAUGCAGGUCAGCUACCUGAGCAACUGGGUUACCAGCCCCUGCUUCAUCACAGGCUCUGUGCUGGGGUUGGUGGGUUGGUUGGUGAACGUUCACUCUGACCACAUCCUAAGGAACCUACGGAAGCCUGGAGAGAGGGGCUACAAGAUACUGUACCAAAAGAUAAGAUUCCUGCUACCUGCAGGUUCGCUCUGGCCAAUCAAAACCACUACCUGGAAGUUUCCUAGUAAAGCACUGAUCCUUAAUCUACGUCUACAUGCAGUGGAGAAUCACUGCUUGUUCCUUUUCAGCACGUGUUAAAUUCAUUUCACAAAGGGCCGAGUGUCUGCAGGUUUUCGCUCUUCCCUUGAACAUAAUUAAUGAAUUAAGGUCACUCAUUAGUAAGAAACUCCCCUCACCUGGUUGUCUAAGUCUUAAUUGAAAUUGAAAAGAAAAACCAGCAGACUCUACGCCCUCCAUGGAAUGAGUUUGACACCCUUGCUUUACAGUUACAGAUAGUGCAUAUCCAUUGACUUAUUCCACAUUUUGUUGUUGUUACACCCUGAUUUGUUUUACCUGUCUUGUGCUUGUCUCCACCCCCCACCAGGUGUUUCCUAUUUUUCCCCAUUAUCCCCUGUGUAUUAAUACCUGCGUUGUUCUGUUUGUCUGUUGCCAGUUUGUCUUGUCGGGUCUUACCAGCGUGUUUCAGGUUGCUUCUGCGCUUAAGUUUGUUUUUCGAGUCUUCCCGGAUCUGACCUUUCUGUCUGUCCUGACCCUGACUUCCGUUCUGUCCCUGUUUGACCCUGCCUUGGAUUACGAACCACUGCCUGUCCUCGACCUGCCCUUUGCCUGCCCCUUUCUAUAAUAAAUAUUCUGAGUAUUGAACUAUCCACCCCCUGUGUCUGCAUCUGGGUCAUAUCCCGAGUCGUGAUAGUACGAACUGGCCAUGACUGACCCAGCAGACUCGGACCAGCUCCGCGACGCUGUCUCUUCCCAAGGAGCCACCAGGAGUUCCUUGAAAGGCUUAUGGAAAGACUCCAGACCUUGGUGGAAAACCAUGACCAUGCUUUCAAUGCAUUACUGGAGCUAUUCCACGGAUUUUCUAACAGGCAGCAAGCCACAACUGUAACCUCCCAGAUUCUCAGUAAUCCCGCUACCUGCAGUGUUUCUCCCCAGCCUACCCCAACUUCCCGUUAACCUUGCUUACCUCCUCCGGAGCACUACGCUGGGGAUCCAGGAACCUGCCGGGCUUUUCUCUCCCAGUGCUCCCUCAUUUUCGAUCUGCAGCCCUCUUCGU